rnacentral:rRNA from 1 species
UACGUAGGGAGCAAGCGUUGUCCGGAUUCACUGGGUGUAAAGGGUGCGCAGGCGGGAGAGUAAGGCAGAGGUGAAAUCUCACAGCUUAACUGUGAAACUGCCUUUGAUACUGCUUUUCUUGAGUUCGGGAGAGGUUGAUGGAAUUCCAGGUGUAGCGGUGAAAUGCGUAGAUAUCUGGAAGAACACCAGUGGCGAAGGCGGUCAACUGGCCCGUAACUGACGCUCAGGCACGAAAGCGUGGGUAGCGAACAGG